AUUCCAGCUCCAAUAGCGUACAUUAAAGUUGUUGCAGUUAAAAAGCUCGUAGUUGGAUUUCUGGUGUCGCAGUGCUUCCGCGUGUUUAAUUACAUGUCGAGUUGUGUUUGCGUCGCCAUCUUUUAGCAGCACCUUCCUGGCAUUAGGUUGUUGGGUUGGUAAUGCUAAUCGUUUACUGUGAAGAAAUUAGAGUGUUCAAAGCAGGCUUAUGCCGUUGAAUACGUUAGCAUGGAAUAAUGAGAUAGGACUUUGGUGGUUUAUUUUGUUGGUUUGCACGCCAAAGUAAUGAUUAAUAGGAGCAGUUGGGGAUGUCCGUAUUCGAUUGUCAGAGGUGAAAUUCUUGGAUUUAUUGAAGACGAACUACUGCCAAAGCAUUCAUCAAGGAUGUUUUCAUUG
rnacentral:rRNA from 1 species